CAAUAGCGUAUAUUUAAGUUGUUGCAGUUAAAAAGCUCGUAGUUGGAUUUCUGGGAGGGUGCCGCCGUCCGGCGUGUCCGUGUGCAGUGGCGCCCUUCCAUCCUUCUGUUAGCGUCUCUUGGCAUUCAUUUGCUGGUGGCGGGCUCAGAUAUUUUACCUUGAGAAAAUUAGAGUGUUUCAGGCAGGCUAGGCCGGAAUACAUUAGCAUGGAAUAAUGGAAUAGGACUACGGUCUCUUUGUUGGUUUGAGGGACUGCAGUAAUGAUUAAUAGGGAUAGUUGGGGGCAUUAGUAUUUAAUUGUCAGAGGUGGAAUUCUCAGAUUUGUUAAAGACUAACUUAUGCGAAAGCAUUUGCCAAGGAUGUUUUCAUUA
rnacentral:rRNA from 1 species